AGGUUGGGAUCAGUUGCAGUGCUGUUUAUUUGUAAGGUAUUGCACUUGUCCCGGCCUGU
rnacentral:pre_miRNA from 1 species